UAUGACUGUGUAUGUGUACUAUGUGCUAAAUCGUGUUAUGUAUAGGUUAAUUAUAAUCUCAACUUCAGCCUCAAAUAAGAACUCAAUUCUGUAAACGUUAAGAACCUAAAAUAGAGUUAACAAUCAUUUACUGGAUUUUGUGUGAUCAGGAGGAAGAGAAGAGCAGAGAGAUGCACAGAUAUUCAGACUCCAGAUCCUGCAGACCACACACACACAGCACUGAAGCCCACCACCAUGACCUCAGAUUAUGACACGCAACAUCUUACAGACUCUCCCAGUGACACGUACUCAACCUUAAACCCUGAAACCAUGAGCUCUGAUUACAACACUCUGACAGCUGUACAUCCUCACAGAGAGAUGAGAAGAGCUCCAGAAAUGAAGAAUGAGAGGAGUUUUGUGAUUAAAUAGCUUUAUGGGGGUCAUAACAAACCACAUACUGUCUUACAGUAGAAUUUUUCAACUGAGUUAUUUUUAUUUCUGAAAUAUCUUUUUCAGGUGUUGUGCAUAUUUACAUAAAAAUAAGCCAGAAUCAAGCAGUUCUACCAAUUCCGUCA